rnacentral:rRNA from 1 species
UGCCAGCAGCCGCGGUAAUACGGAGGGGGCUAGCGUUGUUCGGAAUUACUGGGCGUAAAGCGCACGUAGGCGGACUGGAAAGUUGGGGGUGAAAUCCCAGGGCUCAACCCUGGAACUGCCUCCAAAACUAUCAGUCUAGAGUUCGAGAGAGGUGAGUGGAAUUCCGAGUGUAGAGGUGAAAUUCGUAGAUAUUCGGAGGAACACCAGUGGCGAAGGCGGCUAGCUGGGCCGAGUCUGACACUCAUCCGCGAAAGCGUGGGGAGCAAACAGGAUUAGAUA